rnacentral:hammerhead_ribozyme from 1 species
AUCCAGCUGACGAGUCCCAAAUAGGACGAAACGCGCGUCCCGGAC